rnacentral:rRNA from 1 species
UACGUAGGUGACCAGCGUUGUCCGGAUUUACUGGGCGUAAAGAGCGCGCAGGCGGUCGUUCAAGUCGAGUGUGAAAGCCCCCGGCUCAACUGGGGAGGGUCACUCGAUACUGAUCGACUUGAAGGCAGGAGAGGGAAGCGGAAUUCCCGGUGUAGUGGUGAAAUGCGUAGAUAUUAGGAGGAAUACCGGUGGCGAAAGCGACUCUCUGGACGGCAACUGACGCUGAGGCACGAAAGCGUGGGGAGCAAACAGG